GAGAAUACUAAGGCGCUUGAGAGAACUCGGGUGAAGGAACUAGGCAAAAUUGUACCGUAACUGCGGGAGAACGUACGCUCCUAUCAGGGAUGAGACUUACUCUCUAAGCGGCCGGGAGCCGCCGUGACCAGGUGGCUGGGACUGUGUAUUAAAAACACAGCACUGUGCAUAAGCGCAAGAUGACGUAUACGGAGUGACACCUGCCCGGUGCCGGAAGGUUAAUUGAGGGGGUUAGUUUUUGGACGAAGCUCUUGAUCGAAGACCCGGUAAACGGCGGACGUAACUAUAACGGUCCUAAGGUAGCCAAAUUCCUUGUCGGGUAAGUUCCGACCUGCACGAAUGGUGUAACCAUGGCCACGCUGUCUCCACCCGAGACUCAGUGAAAUUGAAAUCGCAGUGAAGAUGCUGUGUACCCGCGGCUAGACGGAAAGACCCCGUGAACC
rnacentral:rRNA from 1 species